rnacentral:rRNA from 1 species
AAAUUGAAGAGUUUGAUCAUGGCUCAGAUUGAACGCUGGCGGCAGGCCUAACACAUGCAAGUCGAGCGGUAGCACAGAGAGCUUGCUCUCGGGUGACGAGCGGCGGACGGGUGAGUAAUGUCUGGGAAACUGCCUGAUGGAGGGGGAUAACUACUGGAAACGGUAGCUAAUACCGCAUAACGUCGCAAGACCAAAGUGGGGGACCUUCGGGCCUCAUGCCAUCAGAUGUGCCCAGAUGGGAUUAGCUAGUAGGUGGGGUAACGGCUCACCUAGGCGACGAUCCCUAGCUGGUCUGAGAGGAUGACCAGCCACACUGGAACUGAGACACGGUCCAGACUCCUACGGGAGGCAGCAGUGGGGAAUAUUGCACAAUGGGCGCAAGCCUGAUGCAGCCAUGCCGCGUGUAUGAAGAAGGCCUUCGGGUUGUAAAGUACUUUCAGCGGGGAGGAAGGCGA